rnacentral:rRNA from 1 species
GUAGUUUGAUCCUGGCUCAGGAUGAACGCUAGCUACAGGCUUAACACAUGCAAGUCGAGGGGCAGCAUGAACUUAGCUUGCUAAGUUUGAUGGCGACCGGCGCACGGGUGAGUAACACGUAUCCAACCUGCCGAUGACUCGGGGAUAGCCUUUCGAAAGAAAGAUUAAUACCCGAUGGCAUAGUUCUUCCGCAUGGUGGAACUAUUAAAGAAUUUCGGUCAUCGAUGGGGAUGCGUUCCAUUUAGG